rnacentral:rRNA from 1 species
AUACGGAGGGUGCGAGCGUUGUUCGGAAUUAUUGGGCGUAAAGAGCAUGUAGGCGGUCUGUUAAGUCUGGUGUGAAAGCCCGGGGCUCAACCCCGGAAGUGCAUUGGAUACUGGCAGACUUGAGUAUGGGAGAGGAAAGCGGAAUUCCGGGUGUAGGAGUGAAAUCCGUAGAUAUUCGGAGGAACACCAGUGGCGAAGGCGGCUUUCUGGACCAAUACUGACGCUGAGAUGCGAAAGCGUGGGGAGCGAACAGGAUUAGAAACCCCAGUAGUCC